AUUGAACGCUGGCGGCAGGCCUAACACAUGCAAGUCGAACGAGUGGCGGACGGGUGAGUAAUGUCUGGGAAACUGCCUGAUGGAGGGGGAUAACUACUGGAAACGGUAGAUAAUACCGCAUACCAUCAGAUGUGCCCAGAUGGGAUUGGCUAGUUGGUGGGGUAACGGCUCACCAAGGCGACGAUCCCUAGCUGGUCUGAGAGGAUGAACAGCCACACUGGAACGGGGCAACGGUCCGGACUCCUACGGGAGGCAGCAGUGGGGAAUAUUGCACAAUGGGCGCAAGCUGGAUGCAGCCAUGCCGCGUGUAUGAAGAAGGCCUUCGGGUUGUAAAGUACUUUCAGCGGGGAGGCGUUACCCGCAGAAGAAGCACCGGCUAACUCCGUGCCAGCAGCCGCGGUAAUUC
rnacentral:rRNA from 1 species